rnacentral:misc_RNA from 1 species
AGGCCCCUGAGAUCAUUUCAAACACUCUUAACUAUCUCUCUCUUCUUUCUCUCUUUAGCCCUCACAUUUCUAGCUUUAUUGUCCGUCAAGCCAAAACCCCAUUACAGUACUAGUCUCCAGCCUAAUCCUUCCCAUGGCUGGUUCGAUCUUGUUGCAGAAAUGGUCGAUACCCAGAAAAUCAGAAUUGGUUUGGUUAACGUAGAUGAUGAUAUAAAGAGCGUUUAUGAUACAUAUGGAUUAGCAGAGACUGUCUCAGUGGAUUUCGAGCCUGUUUCCAAGGAGAAAAAAUGGGAGGAUUUUUUCCCAGAGUGGAUAGAUGAACACCAUAAGUGGGGCCGACCACGGUGUCCGGAGAUUCCCAUGCCGAGACUCGAGGAUUACCUUGGCUUAGAUGUGAUCGUGGCUAGGGUUCCUUGUGGUGAAGGGAAGACAGAGAAGGAGGGAAUUAGGAAUGUGUGGAGGUUGCAAGUAAAUUUGGUGGUGGCUAAUCUUGUGGUGGCGAAUGGGUGGGUGCAGAAGGCUGCAGAGACUGAACGGACGGUGUACGUUGUGUUCAUGGGGUCUUGUGGACCCAUGCAAGAAAUUUUCAGAUGUGAUGAUCUGUUGACUCGUAUAGGCGAUUACUGGGUGUACAAGCCUGAACUAAGGAAGCUGAAGCAGAAGAUGCUAAUGCCUGUUGGGUCAUGCCAGAUUGCUCCACCGUAUGCUGCAGAGAAAGGUCAAGAAAUUUGGAAACGAAGAAUUAUUCCAACACUAAAGGUCAGGCUCAACCACACCGCAUACCAAAGGGUCGCCUAUGUAACAGUCCUCCAUUCUUCAGAAGCUUAUGUCUGUGGUGCGAUAGCUUUGGCUCAAAGUAUAAUUCAAACCAAAUCUACCAAAGACCUUGUCUUACUCCACGACUCCUCGAUAACUUCGAAGUCUCUUCGAGGUUUAAGAGCUGCUGGGUGGAAAACAAGGUUGAUAGAACCCAUCAGAAGCCCCUCUGCUAGACGGGGCUCAUAUAAUGAGUGGAACUACAGCAAGCUUAGAGUUUGGCAAUUAACAGAUUAUGACAAAGUUAUUUUCAUAGAUGCAGAUAUUAUAGUCCUUAAAAACUUGGAUAAAUUCUUUGUUUACCCACAAUUAUCAGCUUCUGCAAAUGACAAGGUGUUAUUCAACUCUGGAAUCAUGGUGGUAGAGCCAUCGAAGUGCACAUUCGAAGAUCUGAUGUCCAAGACUUAUAAGUUAGCUUCUUAUAAUGGUGGUGAUCAAGGGUUUCUUAAUGAAGCCUUUACAUGGUGGCAUCGGUUGCCUUCAAAGCUAAAUCAUCUUAAGGUCUUCAACAUAAAAGGGAACCCAAAUCAUGAAAUCCCAGACGACCUUUAUACUAUUCAUUUGUUGGGGUUGAAGCCAUGGAUGUGUUACAGGGACUAUGAUUGCAACUGGGAUAUGUUAGCUCGUCACAUAUUUGCCAGUGACUCAGCUCACAGAAGGUGGUGGCAUGUAUAUGAAGCUAUGCCAAAGAAAUUGCAGAAAUAUUGUGGGCUAACGAGGCAAAUGGAGUUGAGGAUAAGGAAGUGGAGAGGGAUUGCUAAGAAAGCAAAUUUGUCUGAUGGGCAUUGGAAGAUCAAUGCUAUAGACCCAAGAAAACAUCUCUUGAUUUGAUGAUCAUCAUUUUAAUUUGUA